UACGUAGGGGGCGAGCGUUGUCCGAAGUUACUGGGCGUAAAGCGCGCGUAGGCGGUCAUUCAAGUCUGAGGUGAAAGGUUCAGCGCUCAACGUGAACAGUGCCUUGGAUACUGGGUGACUUGAGUUCGGGAGGGGGCAGUGGAAUUCCUGGUGUAGCGGUGAAAUGCGUAGAUAUCAGGAGGAACACCGAUGGCGAAGGCAGCUGCCUGGCCCAGAACUGACGCUGAGGUGCGAAAGCGUGGGGAGCGAACGGG
rnacentral:rRNA from 1 species